UCUGGCGCGCCAGAAGAGCCCGGUUUUAAGCGCAACCUGUCUCGGAGUAGUUCCUCUGAGCUGGAUCAGCGUUCCCGUGUGUAUGAGUGGAGAGAGGUGGAAAGUUGACACACGGCUUAGAGCUGGAGGUCGGAUUUGGUCUAAAACGGAGAGAUUUGUUUUGGAUAGGGCGCGUUUGGUAUGCGUAAAAAGCCAGCAGCGUGUAAAUAAACCAAGAGAAUCACCUGCAGAGUACGGAAAAAAGAAAAUUAGCUGAAAACAUCUGAACCGUAGUGAGAUCUCACAUCGGUGGUUUCUUUCACUUUUAUCCGCUCGUUUCUGUUUUCUGGCAACAGAAAGUCAUGGGUCACUGACUCUGACAUGAGGACGCACCUUCCUUCUCUCAGCCUACUGAUCAGACCAGCGGCCAGCAGCGGGAAGCAGCGGGGAGCAACAAGCGUCUAAAUGAUCAGCUCUGUGUGCGUUUCGACUUACCGAGGGCGCAAGUCAGGAAACAAACCUCCGUCUAAAUCAUGUCUGAAGGAGGAGAUGGCCAGAGGGGAGGACUCGGAAAAAAUCAUCAUCAACGUUGGCGGCACCCGGCACGAGACCUACAAGAGCACCUUGCGGACGCUGCCGGGGACGCGCCUGGCCUGGCUGGCCGAACCAGACUCUCAGGGCUGCUGCUCCGAAUCGGAUGCCGAGCUCCCGAGCGUCUCCGAGUUCUUCUUUGACCGACACCCGGGCAUCUUUGCCUAUGUGCUCAACUACUAUCGGACCGGGAAGCUGCACUGUCCGGCAGACGUGUGCGGCCCGCUGUUCGAGGAGGAGCUGGCCUUCUGGGGGAUAGAUGACACCGACGUGGAACCGUGCUGCUGGAUGACCUACCGGCAGCACCGGGACGCGGAAGAGGCUCUGGAGAUAUUCGAGCCGCCAGACCUGGAGGACACAGACGACGACAGAGACACGCCGAGACGGUUCGGCAUUGAGGACCGCAGCGACAGGUCCAGGGGAUGCUGGGAAGUUUGGCGACCCAAAGUGUGGGCCUUGUUUGACGACCCCUACACCUCCAAAGCAGCCAGGGGAGUGGCAAUCAUCUCUCUCUUCUUCAUCCUGGUGUCCAUCACUACGUUCUGCUUGGAGACGCAUCAGGCCUUCGACGUCAAACAAAACAUUACAGAUCUUGUCACAGAGGGAAAUAUCACGCGAAUGGAGAUUAGGCAGGAGAUCGUCACCAACCCAAAGCUCAUCAUGGUGGAGGGAAUCUGUGUGGUGUGGUUUACCUUUGAGUUCCUGGUCCGGAUCAUCUGCUGUCCAAACAAACUGGCCUUCAUCAAGAACACACUCAACAUCAUUGACUUUGUGGCCAUCCUGCCUUUCUACCUGGAGAUGACUUUGAGGGGUCUGUCGUCCAGGGCGGCCAGCAACGUGCUGGGUUUCCUCCGCGUGGUGCGCUUCGUGAGGAUUCUGCGGAUCUUCAAGCUCACGCGUCACUUUGUGGGCCUGCGCGUGCUGGGUCACACGCUGAGGGCCAGCGUCAACGAAUUCCUCCUGCUGGUUAUCUUCCUCGCAUUGGGGGUGCUCAUCUUUGCCACCAUGAUUUACUACGCCGAGCGCAUUGGAGUCACCUACAACCCCCAGAUUAACAACCACUUCAAAAACAUCCCCAUCAGCUUCUGGUGGGCGGUGGUCACUAUGACAACGCUGGGCUACGGGGACAUGUAUCCACAGACAUGGCUGGGUAUGAUGGUGGGGGCGCUGUGUGCUCUGGCCGGCGUGCUGACCAUCGCCAUGCCCGUCCCGGUCAUCGUCAACAACUUCGGCAUGUACUACUCGCUGGCUAUGGCGAAGCAGAAGCUGCCGAAGAAGAAGAAGAAGCACACCCAGAACCCAGACGCGCCGACCGACUCGGCCUCCUUUGUGAAAUCGGAGACAAACUCACACAUAGACAGCACUCAGAGCGACACGUGUCCGCUGGCGGCGGAGGAGAGCAGCAGCAGGAACCGCUCAGACUCCAAACAGAACGGGGACGCGAAUGUGGCCCUUUCAGACGAGGAAGGCUGCAGUCUGACCCAGCCGCUGUCCCCCAGUGAGAAGUGGUCGCUGCACUGCUCCAGAGGACGAGGCAAGAACAAGGAGGGCACCUGCUUCAUCCUAACGUCUGGAGAGCCCAACCUCCAUGUUGCAGCCACACACCUGUAAGAGCACUGCGGUCGACCAGGCAGUUUUUCCUCGAUGUUCCCAGAUUAAAGUAAAAUCUUAAAGAAGGCUGUACAGAUAUUCUCGGUACCACUGGAAGCUACACCCAGCCGGAGGUCACCACUCUGACCUAACCGAGGAGGAGGAAACGUGAAGUCUGCUGUCCGAUCCCUGCUGUCGAAAGAAACCGCAGAGCCACAUAUUGUACAUCAAGAUGAAUCAUUCCUGUUUCCUCCUGUAACAUAUCUGAUCAACAGUAGAUAUGUACAGUCAUAUUUGCGAAGCACUUUGCAUGUAUUGCAUGACCUAACAUGGUACUAGAGUUAUACCAGAUACACUUACAACGAACUGGACAAUAUAGCUCCUUCUAAGGGCCCUGAAGCCAUUUUUUUCUGUCUAUUUAUGAGCUACAGGCUCAUAAAACCAUCAGACAGUUUCCACCUCCAAGGGGAAUUGUUCUAUUUCCUUUUUUUACAGCUCAAAGUGGUAAAACCCCAAAUUUUACUAUUCCUGUUGCGAGAAUCAUUUUCCUCUAAUACAGCAAGCAUUACACAGUAAAAAUCUAAAUCAGAGUCAAUUAAAGAAAGAGGAAAAUAGAAGCACCAAAGCUAUGUAAGCAAUUUUGUUCUUCUUCUUUCAGCAUGGCAAUACAUCUUAUUCUAAAAUGUGAUAUUACAUAAGUAAAUUAAGUAAGAGGUCAGCUGGCCGCUAACUAACUAACUAAUUUAGGUCUUAAAUCCAAGCAAGAAACUUAGUAAAGAACUUUGGAUUUGUUUAAAAUAAUUUACAAUACAAAUAAAAACUGUCCUCACAGUGACUAUUUAUUAGUUUGUGAUAUGUAGUUAAAGCUUUUUUAUUUAUUUAUUUAGAUAGGUAGUCACUGGGAUAACAACCAUUACAGAAAUAUGAGCACACACACCUAUCAUGGGGAUUUCAUCUAUUAUUCAUUUUGGAUUUUUUAUCAUUUAUUUGAACUGUUAUGUUUUUUUGGUAGAGUGACGACACAGCAUACAACUUUAGUUAUUUCUAAAAAUAAGAAUUAGGAGCACAACUAUAAAUUUAUUUGGGCUUUUCUAACCACCAGUAGUCAAAACUAAUACAAGCAGCUCUAAUACAUUCAUGCAGCACAUCUAAUAUUUUUCUACACGUCUUUUAGCAGAUAAGUCGCCCUUUUCUGCAUCCAUCAACAAGCUCUGGGUUCCUUUCUGGUACAGAAUCAGAUUUUAACUAUUUUACUGGCUUGAGGUUGAAAAUUUUAAAGGAGUAAUUUGCAAACUUUAAACUUUGACACAGUUACGUUUUCCAGAGAUAAUAUUAGACUCUUUUAAUGGUAUUGACAACAAUGGUAUUGAAAAUGUCUGAGUUAUUUUUAAAAGUAGAGUCAAUAUCCAGACACAAAAUUAAAAUACUAAUAUUAAGGCGGGAUAUCCAGCCAGAAACACUUCAUGCCUGUUGAUGGCUUCAAAAGGUGGAGGCGUUUAUCUGAAACUUAGCAUUGAUUAUUGAACCAAAUCAUUGGAGUUGUAUGUUGCCUUAUCAUUUCACAGUUCAAAUAAACCAAUAAAAGCCUAAAAUAAUACUAUGGUGAUGAUAGGUUUGAACAGAGCCGUAGGUGUUAUUGAGACACCUUUGAGCAUAGAUUAUCAUAUUUUCCGCUGUUUGCCUUCUGCUGUGUCACUGCCUUCUAAUUCUGCAGAAUGUGCAGAUCUGCCCAGAAACAAUGCUGCUUAAGCAACAUGUUAACUUGUAAAUGCUUAUAAAUUAGGACAGUUUGACAGAAGCUGGAGAAAAUAAAUCGGCGGAGCAGUAUUGUCUGAUCAUCAUAUUAGCUCAGUGCAGUCGAUGCAUCGUUACUGGUUGACUCUGGACCAAAAUGCAGACUCUAUUAGAUUAAGUGGUAGAUUUUCUGUACGUGCUGGUAAAAAUACAUACGGUACAAUGCCAUCGGUUCCGCUCGUGCCUCAUGGUGAGUAAUGGCGUUUAGAUGUCUGUAAUGUAAUCAGCUUUUGUUUCUCGCUGCUUCCAAGCCCAGAAGCAGCAGGAAAAAGAGUUCUUUACCCGUGUUUAUAAUGUAUUCCUCAUGCUCUACCAUAGUGGCCUUAUGUUUAAUAAAGCAAAAGGGAAAUUAAUUUAUGUCCUUAAACUAUUUCUAUACUGAUGCUGAUGUCUGUAACGUAUAAGCAGCUGUAAGUAUGUAGCACAGUACAUGAUAGAUGAUUAAUUACCUGUAAAGUCUGUUUAUGCAUCAUAAAAUAGCUGUUAACCAACAAUGAGAGAUCAUUAUUUUGAAUAUUCACCUUUUUACCCUUAUUUGUUGUAUAUAUUUGACGUUAUCAGACAAGCACACUGCACAUCUGUUCAACAUUUGACCUGAACUGAUCAAAAAGGAAACUGUGGUGAAUUUUAGCCCAGUUUAACUGUCAGAUGUAUGUGUGUGUGCGUGUGUAUGGGAGGGAGUGUGUGAUGCUAUACCUCCUAGGCAUGUAUUUCUAUGCAGAAAUUCAAAUAAAACCCAUUUCCUCCCCCUGGUGUUGAAGA